AUAACUAUACUUUCUAAGGUAACAAUUUAUCUUAUCUUUCUUUGCUUUCAAGGGCCAAAUUGAAAGUCAUUAGCCUGUUAUAAUAUUCCCUUACAACAUCUACAUCCCUCGUCAGCAGUUCUUAGCGUUGGAUUGAGACAUCUAUAAUCUCCUACAUAUCCUUUCUUGUCUGCAAAUAAGUAUUUUCUAGAACUUUUUUUUGGAACUUAUCUUCAGUGAUUAGUGCUUGGACUUUUCAUCAAAUUCACUCAGAGAAAAGGAAAGCGAAGUUGAAGAGCUAGUUGUCUCCGUCUUGAUUUUGGGUCUUCUAUUAGUUUCUCUCUCCUCUUGACUAGUCCUCCUCUAUAAACACGACAGUGAUCGGUGACGCGGGACUUAGAAGAAUCCAUGGCAUAUCUCCUUCACGUGAACGAAAAUUGAUCUCGAGACUCGGAUUCAACGAUUAUACCUCUGAGAUCAAGUAAAAUACCACCAACCUCAAAUUCUUUUAGUCAUAAAUUCAAAUUCAUACCUCAGGUUGAUACCGCUCGUCCUCUCUUUCAUUGUUUCUCUCUAGAUUUCUUUCAUCUUUAUUCUAUUUAUAUGUCAAAUUCAAGAGGGCCUCAGUUUGAGGGGGAUUGCUUCAAAUAAAAUAAUUUCAUUUUAUGUUUAGUUUGAAUAUUUUUAUUUAUUGGGAUUAUGUUUUGUAAAAAGAUGCAAGUCGUGAUAUAAGACUUCGGGCUUGAGGGGAGUGUUACAGUAUUCUAAACGAAUAGAAAUAGUUUGAUUCGCAUAAUCUUAGGAUUGAUUUGAUUAACAUAAUUAGCGGUGUUAGGAUUAUUCUAGACGCAUCAUCAGUGGUAAUCAUUGAUAUUAUUGAUUGUUUUCCUUUCUAAGGUAACAAUAUAUCCCAUAUUUCUUUGCUUUCAAGGCCAAUUUGAAAAUCAUUAGCUUGUUGUAAUAUCCCCUUACAACAUCUACCUCCCUUGUCAGCAGUUCUUUGCAUUGGGUUGUACAUCUAAUCUCCAACCAAUCCUUACUGCAAGAUGGUCUUUUCAAGCACCAUUUUUGGAACUUUUCUACAGUGAUUGGUGUUUGGACUUUUCAUCAGAUUCACUCAGAGAAAAACAAAGCGGAGUCGAAUGGCUAGUUGUCUCGGUCUUGAAUUUGGAUCUUCUAUCAGUUUAUUUCUCCUCUUAAAUGGUUAUCCUCAUCUGUAAACACAACAAUCUGGUGACACAGUGGACUUUGGAAGAAUUCAUGGCAGAUCUCCUUCUAGCACCCCACAUGAACGAAAAUUGAUCUUAAGACUCAGGAUUCGCCUACCUCAAAUUCUUUUUUAGUUGCAAAAUCAAAUUCAUACAUUGAUACCGCUCUUGCUCUCUUUCAUUGUUUCUCUAUCUAAAUUUCUUUGAUGCUUUUUAUUAUUAUUAUUCGUGCAAUUUGAAGAGAGCCUCAAUUUUGAGGGAGUUGUUGGGAAUAAAUAAUUUUGUUUGAAUCUUUUUAUUUUGGGGAUUAUAUUUUGUAACAAGUUGUAAGUCGUGAUAUAAGACUUCUAGCUUGAGGGGUAGUGUUAAGAGUAUCCUAUAGGAAUAUAAAAUUAGUUUGAUUAGCAUAAUCUUAAGAUUGACUUGAGUUACAUAAUUAGUGGUGUUUGGAUUAUUCUAGAUGCAUGCAAUGUCACUGGUAAUCAUUAAUAUUCUUGAUUGAUUUCUUUUUCAAGGUAGCAAUUUAUCCCAUCUUUCUUUGCUUUAAAGGCCAAAUUAAAAAUCAUUAGCUUGUUGUAAUAUCCCCGUGCGACAUUUACCUACCUUGUCAAUAGUUCUUUACAUUGGAUUAUACAUCUAUAAUCUUCAACCAAUCAUUUCUUCUUUGCAAGAUAGGUCUUUUCGAGCACCUUUUUUGACCUUGUCUUCAGUGAUUGGUGCUUGUACUUUUCAUCCGUCACUCGGAGAAAAAGAAAGCGGAAUCGAAGGGCAAGUCAUCUCCGUCUUGACUUUGGGUAUUCUAUCAGUUUAUCAAUCCUCUUAACUAGUCCCGUAUUCUAUCAGUUUAUCUUGCCUCUUGACUAGUUCUCCUUUAUAAACGCGGUGGUGACUAGUGAUGUGAUGGACUUUUAGUAGAAUCCAUUGUAGUUAUCCUUCUUCUAACACCCCACAUGAACAAAAUUUGAUCUUGAGACUCAAAUUCAACGAUUAUAUUUCCAAAAUCGAGUAAAAUAUAGUCUAUCAUAAAUUCUUUUUUAAUCGCAAAAUCAAAUUCAUACCUUUCACUGAAACCGUUCGUGUUUUCUUUCAUUGUUUCUCUCUCCAGAUUUCCUUUAUUCCUUUUUUUUUAGUUUGGACAAAUUGAAAAGGAACUCAAUUUGAGGGGGAGUGUUGGAGAUAAAAUAAUUUCACUAUAUGUUACAUUUAAAUCUUUGAAUUUUUGGAUUAUGUUUUGUAACAAACUGUAAGCCAUGAUAUAAGACAUCCAGCUCGAGGAGAAAUGUGUAUUUUCCUCUAGAAUUAGUUUGAUUCGGAUAAUCUUGCAUUGAUUUGAUUGACAUAAUUAGUCGUGUUAAGAUUAUACUAGAUGCAUGGUCAGUGGUAAUCAUUGACAUCACUAAUUGAUUUCUUUUCCAUGUUUAGCUUUAAAUUUUAGUUGCUUUCCCUUGUAACAGUCUUUUAGCUCUCAUAAAUUACAUUAAUUUUGUAUGCAAGAAAUAAAUAUCCAGAAAAAAAAAACACACACACACACACUUACACUUGUGCCUUGCACUUGCACGGGAUUUUUAAGCAGUUAGCCUAAUGUACCAAUUAUUAACUUAAGGAUCCUCUAGAUUAGUUCCAAACAGAGCUUAGUUCCGACACUUUCAAAUAGGCCACUCUCUCGUACCAUUUGUUAUGAUCGAUCCCCAAAUGAACCUGGUCCACUAGUACAAAAACCCCAGGGUCAACUGAGCCUACCACUAGUGCACCCACCUAAAAUCUUGCGUGGAAGACAACACUGAGACAAGUAAUACAUUAUUAUCAAAAGAGGGAAGUAAAAACAUUAUUAUCAAAAGAGGCAAGUAAUUACAUUAUUAUCAAAAGAUGAAAGUAAACCACCAUAAUAUAUUUUGGGGAGCACUCUUUACACAAUCUAUUUGUGCUAGCUCCACAAGUUUUCUUUCACAUAAAAAUGGGUGGGACCCACCUCACUCACAUGUGAGAGGAAGAGUUGUGAAAUUUUCAAAAAUGUAUAUCUAUAGAGACUUGUGGAAACCCUAUAUUUUCAACAAAAAAUAAUAUUUUGCAGCCAUGGAUAAAUAUUUAAAUCUGCAACAGUAGACAAAAUGAAAGCAAGUAAAUGACCAUGAAUACCAACGAGCAAGGUUUUUAAAACCGAACCGGUCAUCGAACCGGAAAAGUUACCGGGUGGAUGAAUCACUGGUCCAACCAGUGGUCGGAUCGUUAUUGACCCAGUGACGUCAUUAAUAUGUAAUAAUAAAUAAAUAAUUAAUUAUAUUAAUUAUUAUUAUAUAUUAUAUAUAAUAUUUAGUAAAUAUGUAAAAUUAAUCAAUUUAUCUACAAAAAAAAACUAAACAUCUCUAAGAUACAUUCAAAUUCCGAAAUUUAACUACAAGUUCAAGUGUUUGAUUAAAUGAAUGCAAAAAUAUGUAAAAUACCAAACAAAGUCUCAACUAAAUUACUAAAAUAAAAUAAAAUCCGUAAUAAUUUUUUUUUUAAUCUUUAAGGAGAGAACCGGUCAAACCCGUGAACCGGUCAUUGGUUCACUGGGUCAACCGGUUCAACCGUCGGUUCACCGAUUCUGAACGAUUUUUGAGCAAAAGUGGUUUAGUGGUCCAAACCGGACCGUUGAGUGAACCGGGUCCGGUUUUUUCUGGUUCAACCGGCGGUCCGGUCCGGGUUUGAAAACAGUGCUUGGAUGAGAGUCACGGGUUUGAAUGAUAUUUCUAUUGUUAAUAAAUUUCCUGACGUAUUAUUGAAGACUUCUUAGCCUACCCCUAGAGCGUGAAAUCAAAUUUUGUAUUGACCCCAGUACAAAACCCAUUUCUUAAACCCUCAAAUAUUUUCUUCACCUAAAACGAAUGUAUAAUGCGCCAAAGACGUUGGCUCGAGCUGUUGAAGAUUACGAUCGUACCAUUCAAUACCAUCAUGGGAAAGUGAACGUGGUAGCUGACGUGUUGAGUAGAAGAUCGUAUGCGUUUACGAGUGCGAUGUUGUUAACAGAAAGACUCAUUUCGUAUAACUUACAGAUGAUGAAGAUAGAGUUAAAGACUCUAGGGACCCACGUGAAGAUAACAAAUAUACGAAUAGAAUCGACUUUAAUCGAUAAAGUUAAAGGUCGCUCAAGCUACAUACCCGGAACUGAUGAAUGUGAAGAAAAAGGUUCAAGAAGGCGUUAUCUCAACCCUCGAUUUUAUUGGCCCAUUUGAAAUCCUUGAUCGAGUAGGAACUAUGGCCUAUAGACUCGUUUUACCGCCAAAUAUGUUGCGUGUUCAUAAUGUUUAUUGCGUACCGAUGUUAUAUAAAUAUGUGGACAACCCGAACCACAUUAUGGAUUUAGAACCGAACAAGAUAGCAGAAGAUUUAACGUAUGAGGAAAUACGUGUUAAAAUCUUGAAUAAGAAGGAUCGUAUUCAACACUCAAAGGUUAUACCUCAAGAGUUAGAAUUUGAAAUGAAGUCAAGGUAUCCUCACCUCUUCGGCAUACCAGGUACGUACGUAAAUUUCGAGGGCGAAAUUUCAUAUGGAGGGGAGAUUGUAAAAUCCCAAAUUUUACGAAUAAAGAUUUAAUUUUCUCGAAAUAUUUAUUUGAAUAUUAUGGUGUGGAUUUGAGAUAAUGUUAUAGUUGUGGGUAGUAUUUAUAAAUUUUACAAAGUAUGCAAGUUGUUAUAUAAUAUUCGAUUGGUCGGGAAAUAUUCUUUUUAUCGGGGAAUAUCUGUACGACAGUAUAAUCAUUGGUGGACCCCACAACGGAAUUAUUGUCGAAUUGAGAAAACGACAAAAAUAUUUUUAUGAAAAUAACGGCGGAAGUUUUACUGUUAAAACCGUUGAACUACUCGGUAGUAAAAGUACAGUAAUACGCAUGGUUGAAUAGUAGAACACAGUAUUGAUUAUUGAUGCUUACGUGAGAAGUCACUCAGUUUUGAUCAAUUAUUGCUUCAGUAAUGGUUGCAUAGUAUCUCACGUUAUUUGAUUCAAUUAUUGUCGAUAUUUUAUAUAUUAUUAAAUCAAUAAUUGAGAUGACAGAGUUAUUAAUAUUAUUAUUUGGAAUAUUAACGAUGUCUAGAAGUUCUGCCAAUGAGAGGUUUGGUCACCUAAUUUCGCGUCAAUAGAGAGAAAUCCUUAUUAGAAAGCCCCCUCUUUCCUGGGAACGAACUGGUCGAUUAAUAUUGUGAAUUAUAAUAAUGAUGAUAAAUGUUGUUAAAUAUAUUGAGGUGUCUUUUUAUGAAGUCACGGAAGUUUUUAUAUAUAUUUAUUAUAUAUAUAAAUUUUGUUUUAUUAGUAUUAUUAAUGUAAUAAAACAGAAAAGCUUUUUAUAUAAAACAGAAUACUUUUAUAAAGUUAUUUGUUUUAUUAGACAAUAAUUAGAAUAUAUUAUAUUUUAUUAUGCAUAGUGUUUGCAUAGUGCCUGCAUAGUGUUUGCAUAGUAAAAUCUUUUUAUAUAAAACAGAAUACUUUUAUAAAGUUAUUCGUUUUAUUAGAUUAUAAAUAGAAUAUAUUAUAUUUUAUUUAAAAGAUUUUGUUUUAUUAGAAUAUUUUAUUAAUACUGCAUAGUAAAUCAAUAUGGACCGUCCGUUUAAAAGUAAAUCAAUAUGGACCGUUCAUGAAUUAGUUACUAUUCAGUCCAUUCUCCUAUAAAUAGAAGCUCAUUCCUUCAUUAUUUCUUACGAAUUCACUGAAACUCUAGAGAGAGAAACUAUAGAGAGAAAGAAGAAAAGUAUUCCGCUACUUCACUACUCCUAUAUCUAGUUUCUUUUACGGUAAGGGGUAUUAUUUCUUUCGUAUUCAUGAAGAGAACUUCUGUUAUUCCAUUCUUUAUUAUUCUGUUGGAACAACCUGUAUACGCGGGCUACCCUAUACUUGGUGAAAUUCUUCUGUUAUUCCAUUCUUUAUUAUUAUGUUGGAAUAUCCUAUCGGUGCGUAUUACGCCUGACCUGGUUGCAUUAAUUAUUAUUCUGUUGUAAUAACCUGUCUGUGCGGUCUAUUGCAUGCAUGAUGAUUUCUGUUGUUAUUCCAUUCUUUAUUAUUCUGUUGGAAUAUCCUGUCAGUGUGAAUUUCGCCUGACCUGGUUCCGUUCUUUAUUAUUCUGUCGGAAUAUCCUGUCUGUGCGUUUACGCAUGACCUGGUUCCAUUCUUUAUUAUUCUGUUGGGAAUAACUUGUCUGUGCAGUCUAUCGCACACAUGGUGAAUCCUUCUGUUAUUCCAUUCUUUAUUAUUCUGUUGGAAUAACCUGGCUAUGUGGAUUACCACAUGCAUGGUGAAUGAUCCUUUGUAUUAAUUCCUUAUUAAAUUGUGGAAAUGAUUUGUAAACGUGGAUUACCGCAUGGCGGCCAAAAAUCCAUUUGCAGUUUCAUAUAUUUUAUUAUACUUAGUUGGUUAAAGUUUUGACUUUUAUACUCCAUGAAAUUAGUGGAAUAUCCUUGAUAUUUGCGCUUCAUCCAAUAUCUUUUCAUGAAAAUAUUCCUCUGAGCUAGCUGAGCUCACCCCUUUCUUUCACUGUUCUCUUCAGAAAAUGAGAACGUAGCCGGGACUAGUCGGGGAACGGAGUGACGGUCCAGAUGAUAGUAUUAGUAGUCCUCACUAUUUUGUUAAAUAGUGUGACAAUAAAUGUAAUGAGGACUCCUUUGAGUGUGGAUAUUGUCUAGAUGACAAUAUUCUUAUUAAAACUCUCAGUUUAUGUUUUGUCGUAUUUUAUAUGACUAUUGUUUAAUUAAGUUGUAUUUGUAUUCAGUACCUUGUAUCUGGCGACCCAAGAUGGGUGAUGUAUACCUAUUUUGGGGGCGUCACAAUCAUCCUCAUACUUAUAUUGUGAUGAAAGUCAUCUUUGGCCCGUAGUGCAUAGAUGGACUGUUGAUUAUUGGUUUUAUGGUUGUAUAUCUUUGGCUUAGGUGCAAAGAUGGACUAUUGAUUAUUGAUUUUACAAUUGUAUAUCUUUGGUUUACGUGCAUAGACGGACUAUUGAUUGGUAUGAUUAUGACCAGGGAUCAUUCGGUAUAAUCAUGACCCGUAAUGUUAUAAAUGAUGUGGUAAAAGUCCUCAUUGGCCCGUAGUGCAUUGAUGGACAAUUGUUGGUAUGAUUAUGACCAGAGAUUAUUUGGUAUAAUCAUGACCAUUGGUGAAAACAUAAAUAUCCUUGUCCCGUAGUGCAUGGAUAAUUCGUGGUCGUGAUACUAAUGAAUAUCCUUUAGCCGUAGUGCAAGGAUGAUUCGAUUAUGUGGAUUAUUUAUUAAGCUAAGUCUCAGCGAUAAAAUAUUGAUAUUAACCUUUUAAUUCGUUGAAGAUAGUACAUAUCAUGCUCUACUUGACUUUUCUAAAAAUACAGUUGCAUGUCUUUGGCCUGUAGUUCAAAGAUGAACUGUUAAUGAAUAUCUUUGGCUCAUAGUGCAAAGAUGAAUUUAUUAGUAUGAUUAUGAACAGGAACUGUGGUUUGGUAUAACCAUAAUCUUUGAUGUUUCAGGUAAAUAUAGGUGAUGAAAAUUAUCUUCGUCCUAGGUGCGAAGAGGAAUUUAGAAUCACAAUUAUGAUUAUGAAUAAUUGUGGACAAGAACUGUUGAUUGAUGUUACAGGGAUAAAACAUUGUUGGUGGACUUUUAACAUGGAGAAGAUAAUAGACUUUAUGGUCUAUUUGACUCUUCUAAUGGAUUGCUCGUUCCGCUGCAACUAUGGUUGAAAACUUUUAUUAUCUACCAUAUGUUCUAAAUCUCUGAUUUAUUUUGAUGAAGGCUAUUGAUAAAUUAAUUAUCUUAGCCAUGAUAUUCUUUACUGGGCUAUUUGUGCUCACCCUUUUGCUUCACAAUUUCUUUCAGGUAAUAAGAGUGUAGCUGGGUCGAGCGGGGAUAACAGUGGAAUAAUGUGAUGGUCCGAGACUGUCGAAGUUUCUCAAUACAUUAUAAGACGGCAUGACAUGCAAUAUAUAAUUGUAUCGAGGACCUAAGAUGUGUGUGUCAUAUUUUAUACGUCACAUAAUAAUUGAUUUUGGUGAACAACAAUAGGGUGAUGAGAACCCGACUUUGAAAGCGUCAAAAGUGCACCUCAUUAGAAUGAACAUGAUAGUAAUCUUCUCAUUCUUCUUUGGGGUCUUGAAAUAUUUGUUGUUGUAUUUUAUAUGGCAUUGUAAUGAUUUUAGUUUGGAGACUGUCUACGUUACAAUAUUUGUAUUAAAACUCACAGUAUAUGUGUCGUCGUAUUUUACACGACAGUUCAACAGUUGUAUAAAUGGAGUUGUCAGUAGUGUAUUUUCUGGCGACCCAAGAUGGGUCUUGUGGACCUAUUUUGGGGGCGUCACAUGGUGGUUCAUGGAAGUGCAUUUGUCGUGACUGUCCAAAACGCGAGGAAACCAAACGAGGUGAUCACGGGUAAGCUAAUCAUAAACUCUUGCGAUGUUUAUACCUUAUUAGAUAUCGGUUCUACCCAUUCUUUUAUUUCUCCUGCUUGUGCUCAACGUUUGAACUUGACCUCUGAGAAAUUAGACUUUUACUUAUCUGUUAAAACUCUGUUAGGAGAAACCUUCAUUACAUCCACUAUUUAUAAAUAUUGCUUGAUCCAAGUUGGCACCAUCACAUUACCUGUUGAUCUUAUCUCUUUAAAGAUACUUGCAUUUGAUGUAAUUUUAGGGAUUGAUUGGUUAACUACUCAUCAUGCCAAAAUUGAUUGUUUUCGUAAGGUUGUUAGUUUUCAUAUUCCUAACCAACCUGUUAUGCGAAUUGAAGUAUGCCCCUCUUUAUCAUAUUCAUGCAAUGUAAUGGCAUGGAUAUGAUAAAGAAUACUAGACACUUAAAAUGUGAUAGGAUAAUCAUGAUGCAGUGUAGUGCAGCAUGAUGCAAAUGUAUGAUGAAUGUGGUUUAUUGUACUAUUUUCCAAUGAGAUGUGAUGACUGUUAGCUCCCAUGACUUCUGAUGGGGAUUGGAGUUAUCACUGAUGAUCCUGAUGAACUGCUUGGAUGUCUACUCCAAAGCUCUCAAGAACUUCCAGGAUGUUGACAUUGGGGUUAUUACCAAAGUCUUUAAUCCUUAAUACAGACUUCUCACUGAGGAUGUAUCUCUCAUAUAUGAGAGACUCUGGGGGAUAGUGUUGUUUGAUGAAGAUUUGUAUAACAUAUUCCAUCAUCGGUCCUCCCCGAUGAGGAUGAUUUUCCCUGGUUUGUAUCGCCAGGUCCUUCCAAUGCUCUGUCGGAGUUACUGCCAACAAUCUGGGUUGUUAGGGUUUCCUGACCCUCGCUGAAAUGUACUUCAAUGGAUACCAUCAUCAGACCAUCUCCGAUGCUUCGCUGGGUUUAAUUGCCAAUGGCUAGUGAUGUCAAGGCUGCUUGACCUUCGUUGAAAUGUGCUUUAACGGCUGAUAUCAUCGGAUGGCUUUCGAUGCUUCACUAGAUUUACUUGCCAAUGGCUGAAUAAUGUCAAGGUUGAUUGACCUUCAUUGAAAUGUGCUUCAACGACUGAGAUCAUCAGAUGGCUUUCGAUGCUUCAUUGGUUUUACUUGCCAACGGCUGAAAUAGUGUCACAGUUGCUUGACCUUUAUUGAAAUGUGCUUCAACGGCUGAGAUCAUCGGAUGGCUUCCGAUGCUUCGCUGAAUUUACUUGCCAAUGACUGAAAUAGUGUCAAGGUUGCUUAACCUUCGUUGAAAUGUGCUUCAACUGUUGAUAUCAUUGGAUGGCUUCCGAUGCUUUGCUGGAUUUACUUGCCAACGGCUGGAUAAUGUCAAGGUUGCUUGACCUUCGUUAAAAUGUGCUUUAAAUGCUGAGAUCAUCGGAUGGCUUCUGAUGCUUCACUGGAUUUACUUGCCAAUGGCUGAAAUAGUGUUAAGGUUGCUUGACCUUCGUUGAAAUGUGCUUCAACGACUGAGUUUGUAUGAAAUAUCUGCUAGAGAGAGGUUACAAUUGGAAUAACAAUCCUGAACUAACGGCAUCAGACCUUUGUGAGGUAUUUCCGGGUGUAGUCUUACAAUAAAUGUUAUUAUCGGUGUUGUGAACCAUGUGUCUGGGUGAAUACCAAUGAGUGAUAUGUAGACCCGCAGUUUGGUCUUUGAAAAUCAGGAUCUAAGGCAUUUUCGCUCAAUCGCGUAGCGUCUUUUUCCUGAUUUGACUUUUUUAACUUGUGAGACCUCCUUUGCAACUCAAAUUGGACUGAGCCGGAGGGGUGGGGCCCACUUAGGAUAGCCGCAGGUACACCUGCGGCUAUCCAUGGGCGUAUUUUUUGGCCACUUUUGUUUUAUAAGUUAUUUUCAAGUUGAGCCACAUAGAGAAUCCGAGAGUUCUUCUUCAGAUUUAUUGAGUUUAGGUUGCUUUCUACAAAAUCUGUCACCAUACAAGUGUUCCACACUAUCCUAGUAACAUAUACAUGUCUUCUUUUUCAGUUUUUGUCCAUUGGAAAAUGAGUUAUUACAUGAAUUGCUUCUAAACACAUAGUAGUGAAUAUGCAUGCUCAUAUGACUUGAUAAAAAAUAUUCAACAUAGUAAAUUUUAGUAUUUAACCAUGCUGAACAUAUUGAUGUGAAAAAGUUUAACUUUUGAAAUAGUCAAAUUGGCACCUUUUUUUUG
rnacentral:lncRNA from 1 species